GAGGGUAUAGCUCAGUGGCAGAGUGCAUGCUUAGCAUGCAUGAGGUCCUGGGUUCAACCCCCAGUACCUCA
rnacentral:tRNA from 1 species